AUGCGUUCAAGGGGAUUGAGUAUGUGUGACAUUGCCGUGGUUGUAGUCGAUAUUACGCAGGGGCUUGAGAAGCAGACGAUUGAAUCCCUUCAUCUUUUGAGACGGCACAAUGUGAGCUUCAUUGUCGCCUUGAACAAGGUUGAUCGCCUCUAUGGGUGGAAGGAAUGUACCAAUGCACCAAUAGUUGAGGCACUCAAGAAGCAAUCUGACGACGUCAAAAGUGAAUAUAAAUGGAGGUUAACUAAGGUUGUAACAGAGUUUAAGGAAAAUGGCUUCAACACUGCACCAUACUAUGAAAAUAAUAAGAAGAAAAAAGUGGUUAACAUUGUCCCGACCAGUGCAGAAAGCGGUGAAGGUGUCCCAGAUCUUCUACUGCUACUGGUGCGGUGGCUGCCUGGCAUAAUUACAGAUAAGCUGGCCUAUGACGAUACAGUAGAGUGUACAGUACUAGAAGUCAAUGAACAUAAAGAUUUAGGAACUACUGUUGACGUAGUACUGAUUAAUGGUGUGCUGCACCAAGGGGAUCAAGUAAUUGUUUGCACUAAACAGGGGCCUGUUACAACCAUUAUUAGAGACUUGUUGACCCCUCAUCCAAUGAAAGAACUCAAAGCUAAGGGUGCAUAUAAGCAUCACAAGGAGGUCAGAGCUGCGCAGGGGGUAAAAAUUGUGGCACGGGGACUUCAAUAUACAAUGGCUGGCACUUCCCUCAUUGUAGUGAAGCCAGGGGAUGAUUUGCGACAAGCUGAAGCAGCUGCAAUGACAGAUGAGAACGAGAAGGGAACAACAACUCAAGAAGUUAGUAGUAUCGUGACUUCCAAGGAGGGCAUCUAUGUGCAAGCUUCUAGUGUUGGAACCUUGGAAGCUAUCAUUGCGCACUUGAAGAGCAGUAGUGUGGACAUUCCUGUUUAUGCUUGGAACUUAGGACCCGUCUACAAGCAGGAUGUCAUGAAGGCAAGUGCCAUGCUGAAGCGGAAAGAAGAGUAUGCGGUCAUCUUGGCCUUUGACGUCAAAGUGAUGCCUGAGGCUAGUGCCCUUGCAGCUGAAUCAGGGUUGAAGAUUAUUACUGCUGAUACGGUAUAUAGGCUCGUCAACAUCUAUACUGAGCACAUUAAGGGAUUGAAGGAAGCGAAGAAAAUGCAAUUUGCAGCUGAGGCAGUUUUCCCAUGCACCCUGAAGAUUCUGCCAAACCGUGUCUACCAUAGCAAGGAUCCAAUUGUUUGCGACGUUGAAGUUGUGGAAGGUGUCGUCAAGGUGGGAACCCCGAUAUGUGUCUUCACCCAGAGCAAGGUUCAUAGCCUCGGAAGGAUCUCCUCCAUGCAAACAUCCAAUGGCAAUCAGAUUUUCUCGGCCAGGAAUGGAGUUGUGGCCAUAAAGAUAAGCGGUGACAGCCCUCAGGAGAAAUCCCGGUGUUAUGGGCGCCAUUUUGAUUCUAGCAAUGAGCUGGUCAGCGAGAUCUCGAGGAGAUCCAUUGAUGUACUCAAAGAGUGCUUUCGGGAUGAAAUGAGCGCUGAAAAUUGGCAGCUUAUCACCAGGUUGAAGACGCAAUUCAAGAUAGCCUGA
rnacentral:rRNA from 1 species